AACAACACUAUACUUUUGUGUCCUGGCCGGUGUAGGUCACUGUUGCGAGAUGGCAAUACCGGAACCCGGGGACAAUAUAUCAGAAAUUUAAAAUAAUUGACACGAAAUUCAAGAUGUGAUCAGACUCCAAUCUGUUCGCUUUAUUUAUGUAUUGUUAAAAACUACGCAUCUUUGCACAUACUUAGGACCAGUGGUUUCCAAACAUUUAUCUAUACCGCCCACUUCAAAAAAAAA